rnacentral:lncRNA from 1 species
GCACUCGAGGUGUGGCCUCGGCAGUGGCAGCACAGGGACGGGCACUGCCCUGCUCCUGCUGCCGCCCCACGGCUGCCACAGCCCAGGGGCCAUCGGCCUCUUGGCCACCUGGCCACCCCUGGGCUCGUGUCCAGCCCCUAUUGACAAACCAGCCCUCAGGAAGCCCCAUAAAAGUGCCAAAAUGCAGACAGAAAAGACACACCAGGGUAAUUUUAUUUUCCAAGCCACCUGUGAGCUCCUUGGAGAGCGUGAGCUGUUCCCUGGUCACAGCUGCUAGAUAAAUCGGUGUGGUUAAUGCUGAGGGGAAGUUAUCCUGGAGAUCAAGAAGCUCCCACCACGCCAGCUCUGUUUGCUGUGGAUGGCAGGCCUGAACACCAGCCAGCUCCCAGCUUCCUCACUGGCUAGGCCGAGCAGAAUCCAUGCCUUUAUUAACCUGGCUUAAAAAAAAAUAAUAAAACAAAAAUCAGGGUUUCAGACCUUUGCCUGCUUUGCAUGACGUGGUGAAGCAGAGAUGGAGCUGUGUUUAGCCCAGCACCAGGCAGGCAGUGGAGAUGGCUUUCCACCACCUGAAGGGCACAGGAAACAGGGAGGAGGUGGCAGUGGCUUGCUGCUGUGGGAAAAGCAAGAAAAGGGGAAGGGAAUCUCACCAGCAGUCAGACACCCUGGUGGCAUCACCCCUCUGAAAACCCCCAGCAGAUACAUCCCCAAAUCUUUACCUGCAUUAGCUGUCCAGGUUUGCACUCCUCCAGCUCUGUGCUGUACCCCAGAGCUCAGUGGAAAACAUCUUUCUGUCCACACACGGAGAGCUGAGCCAUGGUGAAACCAGUAAAACCAGCCAGAUUUUCUUCCUCUGGUAUUUGAAGCUACCACACUUUCACAACUAGAGAACAGAACUAGGAGCAGAAUCACAGAGUUAUUAAAGUGGAAAUUAAAUUAAAUUAUUUUUAAUAAAUUAUUAAAUUAAAUUAAAUUAAUUAAAUGG